rnacentral:rRNA from 1 species
UACGGAGGGUGCUAGCGUUGUUCGGAAUCAUUGGGCGUAAAGGGCGCGUAGGCGGUCUGUUACGUCCGUUGUGAAAUCCCCUCGCUCAACGAGGGAGCUGCGUCGGAUACUGGCAGACUUGAGUACCGGAGAGGAAGGUGGAAUUCCCGGUGUAGCGGUGAAAUGCGCAGAUAUCAGGAGGAACACCGAUGGCGAAGGCAGGUCUCUGGGCCGAUACUGACGCUGAGGAGCGAAAGCGUGGGGAGCGAACGGG